rnacentral:rRNA from 1 species
AGUGAACGCUGGCGGUAGGCCUAACACAUGCAAGUCGAACGGCAGCACAGUAAGAGCUUGCUCUUACGGGUGGCGAGUGGCGGACGGGUGAGGAAUAUAUCGGAAUCUACUUUUUCGUGGGGGAUAACGUAGGGAAACUUACGCUAAUACCGCAUACGACCUACGGGUGAAAGCAGGGGAUCUUCGGACCUUGCGCGAUUGAAUGAGCCGAUGUCGGAUUAGCUAGUUGGCGGGGUAAAGGCCCACCAAGGCGACGAUCCGUAGCUGGUCUGAGAGGAUGAUCAGCCACACUGGAACUGAGACACGGUCCAGACUCCUACGGGAGGCAGCAGUGGGGAAUAUUGGAUAAUGGGCGCAAGCCUGAUCCAGCCAUACCGCGUGGGUGAAGAAGGCCUUCGGGUUGUAAAGCCCUUUUGUUGGGAAAGAAAAGCAGCAGGUUAAUACCCCGCUGUUCUGACGGUACCCAAAGAAUAAGCACCGGCUAACUUCGUG